AAAGGAAGGGGUGGGAGUGGGAACAUUUCUGCCUUGUUGAGUGGUGUUCCGUGGGAUGUUAAUAUGCAACUGUUACAAGUAACCUCAGGAAUGACCUUUAGCAGUAAGACAAUUGGCGGCAAUUUGAAUUCUAAGGUUAAAUUUGUUGUGAUGAAGGGUUCAACACUAAUGAAACCUACUGCUAGUCUGUUGGCUAAGCAAAAUCAGCCCCAUCCAAUUGUUAGCUCAAGGUUGGUGAUGUGAAGCAGCAAGUUAAUUUUGUCCACAAGGCACCUAAGAAGGUAAGGGUUGUAAUGCAAUUAAUUUCAACGUCUUCACUUCACUGCAAUGAUUCUAAUAAGGUUAAUUUAAUUCACACAAUUUUAAGUAGUAAUAUUAAUGUCUCUUCACAUA